rnacentral:ncRNA from 1 species
GGAGGAUUGACAGAUUGAGAGCUCUUUCUUAAUUCGGUGUAUGGUGGUGCAUGUCCGUUUUCAGUUCGUGGAGCGAUUUGUCUGGUUAAUUCCGAUAACGAACGAGACCUAACCUAUUAAAUAUGUGCGUGAUUUUCCGCACCUUGCACCCUUUUUAGAGUGACAAGCGGCUCCUAGCCACACGAACCAGAGUAAUAACAGGUCUGUGAUGCUCUUAGAUGUCCGGGGCCGCACGCGGGCUACACUGAAGGAAGCAGCAAAUACAGAGGGUUAAUUAAAGUCCAUCGGGUUACCCCCGAG